UGCAGAAGAGAGAUAGAGUGAGAGAGCAGAAACGGGAAUGGAUGAAAUGAUAGAAGGACACUUUGUUCCCAUUGACAGCGGGAGCUCGGGCCAAACCAACAACUUCUGAUUCAGCAGGAAGAGGUGAAUGGAUGGGAUUUAUUAGAAUAAGACUUCUCCCGUUACAAAUGUUUGAUCUUCAGAGAGUGGCUGCUAAUCCAACUGCACACCGCAAAGUAUGGC